rnacentral:rRNA from 1 species
GACGAACGCUGGCGGCGUGCUUAACACAUGCAAGUCGAACGGAAAGGCCCUGCUUUUGUGGGGUGCUCGAGUGGCGAACGGGUGAGUAGCACGUGAGUAACCUGCCCUUGACUUUGGGAUAACUUCAGGAAACUGGGGCUAAUACCGGAUAGGAGCUCCUGCUGCAUGGUGGGGGUUGGAAAGUUUCGGCGGUUGGGGAUGGACUCGCGGCUUAUCAGCUUGUUGGUGGGGUAGUGGCUUACCAAGGCUUUGACGGGUAGCCGGCCUGAGAGGGUGACCGGCCACAUUGGGACUGAGAUACGGCCCAGACUCCUACGGGAGGCAGCAGUGGGGAAGAUUGCACAAUGGGCGGAAGCCUGAUGCAGCAACGCCGCGUGCGGGAUGACGGCCUUCGGGUUGUAAACCGCUUUCGCCUGUGACGAAGCGUGAGUGACGGUAAUGGGUAAAGAAGCACCGGCUAACUACGUG